rnacentral:rRNA from 1 species
UUAAGCAUAUUAAUAAGCGGAGGAAAAGAAACCAACAGGGAUAUUCUCAGUAACGGCGAGUGAAGAGAAUACAGCCCAGCGCUGAAUCGUAUUGCUUGCAAGGGUUGUACGAAAUGUAGCGUGAAAUUGGCGGCUGUUGAUGUUGUCGAUGCGUGCAAGUCUUCUUGAGCGGGGCUCAGUCCCAGAGAUGGUGCUAGGCCCGUAUCGCGCGUGACAAGUACAACAACGCCCGCUUAUGGAGAGUCAGGUUGUUUGGGAACACAAUCUAAAGCCGGUGGUACACUCCAUCGAAGGCUAAAUAUGGCCACGAGUCCGAUAGCGAACAAGUACCGUGAGGGAAAAUUGAAAAGCACUUUGAAGAGAGAGCGAAAUAGUGCGUGAAACCGCUUAGAGGCAAGCAGAUGGAUUCUCGAAGGUGUGCAUAGGAUUGAUUUCCUAGUUCUCACGCCACCGCUGUUGUUGACGUGCACCAUGCGCUGACAUUUGGACGCUUGAGAUUGGGCCUCGUGCCUGCUCGAGACGCUCGGUGUCGGACGUAUUGAGUUGUUUUGUGGCAUGCGAUAACAGAGCAGAGCAUUUGUCGUCGCUGUAAAGCGCCGACUGUGGCCGCUUGCUGAUUCAUUGUUGUUGUGGCGAAGCGCAAGCUUCGACAUGCGAUAUGUAUUGCAACUCGGCUAUUAGUACCGGCAAGACGACUUUAAGACUCGGUGGCGAGUAGA